GGAGAGUUGUCCGAGUGGUUGAAGGAGCACGCCUGGAAAGUGUGUAUAUCAGUAAUGGUAUCGGGGGUUCGAAUCCCUCACUCUCCG
rnacentral:tRNA from 1 species